rnacentral:rRNA from 1 species
GACGAACGCUGGCGGCGUGCCUAAUACAUGCAAGUCGAACGCUGAAGGAGGAGCUUGCUCUUCUGGAUGAGUUGCGAACGGGUGAGUAACGCGUAGGUAACCUGCCUGGUAGCGGGGGAUAACUAUUGGAAACGAUAGCUAAUACCGCAUAACAGUAGAUGUUGCAUGACAUUUACUUGAAAGGUGCAAUUGCCUCACUAGCAGAUGGACCUGCGUUGUAUUAGCGAGGUGGGGGGGUAAAGGAUCACCAAGGCGACGAGACAUAGCAGACCUGAGAGGGGGGUUGGCCAGCCUGGGACGGUGACAGGGCACAGAGGCCUACGGGAGGGAGCAGGAGGCAAUCGUAGGCAAUGGACGGAAGACUGACCGAGAAAGGCCGAGGGAGGAAACAAGGGUGUCGGAUCGUAAAGCUCUGUUGUAAGAGAAGAACGAGCGUGAGAGUGGAAAGUUCACACUGUGACGGUAUCUUACAAGAAAGGAACGGCUAACUACGUG